UACGAAGGGUGCAAGCGUUAAUCGGAAUUACUGGGCGUAAAGCGUGCGUAGGCGGUUUCUUAAGUCCGUUGUGAAAGCCCUGGGCUCAACCUGGGAACUGCGAUGGAUACUGUCGGGCUAGAGUGCGGAAGAGGCGAGUGGAAUUCCUGGUGUAGCGGUGAAAUGCGCAGAUAUCAGGAGGAACACCAAUUGCGAAGGCAGCUCGCUGGGACGUAACUGACGCUGAGACGCGAAAGCGUGGGGAGCAAACAGG
rnacentral:rRNA from 1 species